UACGUAGGUGACAAGCGUUGUCCGGAUUUACUGGGCGUAAAGAGCGCGCAGGCGGUCGAUCAAGUCGAGUGUGAAAGCCCCCGGCUCAACUGGGGAGGGUCAUUCGAUACUGAUCGACUCGAAGGCAGGAGAGGGUAGUGGAAUUCCCGGUGUAGCGGUGAAAUGCGUAGAUAUCUGGAGGAACACCGGUGGCGAAGGCGGCAUCCUGGACCGGCAUUGACGCUGAGGCGCGAAAGCUAGGGGAGCAAACGGG
rnacentral:rRNA from 1 species